UACGUAGGGUGCGAGCGUUGUCCGGAAUUAUUGGGCGUAAAGAGCUCGUAGGCGGUCUGUCGCGUCUGCUGUGAAAUCCCGAGGCUCAACCUCGGGCUUGCAGUGGGUACGGGCAGGCUAGAGUGCGGUAGGGGAGAAUGGAACUCCUGGUGUAGCGGUGGAAUGCGCAGAUAUCAGGAAGAACACCGAUGGCGAAGGCAGUUCUCUGGGCCGUAACUGACGCUGAGGAGCGAAAGCGUGGGGAGCGAGCAGG
rnacentral:rRNA from 1 species